CUUGGUGCAGUGAUUAUACAAACAUUCCUCGAACUGACGGGAGAUCCCCCGUGAUCGACUCCUAUACACCCAUAGAAUCUGAGCGCCA
rnacentral:snoRNA from 1 species